GACGAACGCUGGCGGCGUGCUUAACACAUGCAAGUCGAACGGAAAGACCCUGCUUUUGUGGGGUGCUCGAGUGGCGAACGGGUGAGUAACACGUGAGUAACCUGCCCUUGACUUUGUGAUAACUUCAGGAAACUGGGGCUAAUACCGGAUAGGAGCUCCUGCUGCAUGGUGGGGGUUGGAAAGUUUCGGCGGUUGGGGAUGGACUCGCGGCUUAUCAGCUUGUUGGUGGGGUAGUGGCUUACCAAGGCUUUGACGGGUAGCCGGCAUGAGAGGGUGACCGGCCACAUUGGGACUGAGAUACGGCCCAGACUCCUACGGGAGGCAGCAGUCGGGAAUAUUGCACAAUGGGCGGAAGCCUGAUGCAGCAACGCCGCGUGCGGGAUGACGUCCUUCGGGUUGUAAACCGCUUUCGCCUGUGACGAAGCGUGAGUGACGGUAAUGGGUAAAGAAGCACCGGCUAACUACGUG
rnacentral:rRNA from 1 species